AUUGAACGCUGGCGGCAGGCCUAACACAUGCAAGUCGAACGGUAACAGGAAGCAGCUUGCUGCUUCGCUGACGAGUGGCGGACGGGUGAGUAAUGUCUGGGAAACUGCCUGAUGGAGGGGGAUAACUACUGGAAACGGUAGCUAAUACCGCAUAACGUCGCAAGCCCAAAGAGGGGGACCUUAGGGCCUCUUGCCAUCGGAUGUGCCCAGAUGGGAUUAGCUAGUAGGUGGGGUAACGGCUCACCUAGGCGACGAUCCCUAGCUGGUCUGAGAGGAUGACCAGCCACACUGGAACUGAGACACGGUCCAGACUCCUACGGGAGGCAGCAGUGGGGAAUAUUGCACAAUGGGCGCAAGCCUGAUGCAGCCAUGCCGCGUGUAUGAAGAAGGCCUUCGGGUUGUAAAGUACUUUCAGCGGGGAGGAAGGGAGUAAAGUUAAUACCUUUGCUCAUUGACGUUACCCGCAGAAGAAGCGCCGGCUAACUCCGUG
rnacentral:rRNA from 1 species